rnacentral:rRNA from 1 species
UGCAGUCGAGCGGACUUGAUGAAGAGCUUGCUCCCCUGAUGGUUAGCGGCGGACGGGUGAGUAACACGUAGGCAACCUGCCCGUAAGACUGGGAUAACUACCGGAAACGGUAGCUAAUACCGGAUAAUUUAUUUCACCGCAUGGUGGAAUAAUGAAAGGCGGAGCAAUCUGUCACUUACGGAUGGGCCUGCGGCGCAUUAGCUAGUUGGUGGGGUAACGGCUCACCAAGGCGACGAUGCGUAGCCGACCUGAGAGGGUGAACGGCCACACUGGGACUGAGACACGGCCCAGACUCCUACGGGAGGCAGCAGUAGGGAAUCUUCCGCAAUGGACGAAAGUCUGACGGAGCAACGCCGCGUGAGUGAUGAAGGUUUUCGGAUCGUAAAGCUCUGUUGCCAGGGAAGAACGUCCGCUAGAGUAACUGCUAACGGAGUGACGGUACCUGAGAAGAAAGCCCCGGCUAACUACGUGCCAGCAGCCGCGGUAAUACGUAGGGGGCAAGCGUUGUCCGGAAUUAUUGGGCGUAAAGCGCGCGCAGGCGGCUAUUUAAGUCUGGUGUUUAAUCCUGGGGCUCAACUCCGGGUCGCAUUGGAAACUGGGUAGCUUGAGUGCAGAAGAGGAGAGUGGAAUUCCACGUGUAGCGGUGAAAUGCGUAGAGAUGUGGAGGAACACCACUGGCGAAGGCGACUCUCUGGGCUGUAACUGACGCUGAGGCGCGAAAGCGUGGGGAGCAAACACGAUUAGAUACCCUGGUAGUCCACGCCCCUAACCCAUGAACGCUACGUGUUAUG